UACGUAGGGUGCGAGCGUUGUCCGGAAUUAUUGGGCGUAAAGAGCUCGUAGGCGGCUUGUCGCGUCGGGAUGUGAAAGCCCGGGGCUUAACUCCGGGUCUGCAUUCGAUACGGGCAGGCUAGAGUUCGGUAGGGGAGAUCGGAAUUCCUGGUGUAGCGGUGAAAUGCGCAGAUAUCAGGAGGAACACCGGUGGCGAAGGCGGAUCUCUGGGCCGAUACUGACGCUGAGGAGCGAAAGCGUGGGGAGCGAACAGG
rnacentral:rRNA from 1 species